rnacentral:rRNA from 1 species
GAUGAACGCUGGCGGCGUGCCUAAUACAUGCAAGUCGAGCGAACAGACGAGGAGCUUGCUCCUCUGACGUUAGCGGCGGACGGGUGAGUAACACGUGGAUAACCUACCUAUAAGACUGGGAUAACUUCGGGAAACCGAAGCUAAUACCGGAUAACAUGUUGAACCGCAUGGUUCAACAGUGAAAGACGGUCUUGCUGUCACUUAUAGAUGGAUCCGCGCCGCAUUAGCUAGUUGGUAAGGUAACGGCUUACCAAGGCAACGAUGCGUAGCCGACCUGAGAGGGUGAUCGGCCACACUGGAACUGAGACACGGUCCAGACUCCUACGGGAGGCAGCAGUAGGGAAUCUUCCGCAAUGGGCGAAAGCCUGACGGAGCAACGCCGCGUGAGUGAAGAAGGUCUUCGGAUCGUAAAACUCUGUUAUUAGGGAAGAACAAAUGUGUAAGUAACUAUGCACGUCUUGACGGUACCUAAUCAGAAAGCCACGGCUAACUACGUG